GGAAUAUUGGGCAAUGGGCGAAAGCCUGACCCAGCCACGCCGCGUGAGUGAUGAAGGCCUUCGGGUCGUAAAGCUCUGUGGGGAGGGACGAACAAGGUGCGUGCUAACACCACGUGCCCCUGACGGUACCUCCUUAGCAAGCACCGGCUAACCAUGUGCCAGCCGCCGCGGUAAUACAUGGGGUGCGAACGUUGCCCGGAAUUAUUGGGCGUAAAGCGCGCGUAGGCGGCCGCUUAAGUCGGAUGUGAAAGCCCUCGGCUUAACUGAGGAAGUGCAUCCGAAACUGGACGGCUUGAGUACGAAAGAGGGUCGCGGAAUUCCCGGUGUAGAGGUGAAAUUCGUAGAUAUCGGGAGGAACACCGGCGGCGAAGGCGGCGACCUGGGUCGAGACUGACGCUGAGGCGCGAAAGCGUGGGGAGCAAAC
rnacentral:rRNA from 1 species